rnacentral:tRNA from 1 species
AUGACACUGAAGAUGUUAAGAUGAACCCUAGAAAGUUCCAUAAGCA